rnacentral:rRNA from 1 species
UACGGAGGGGGCGAGCGUUAUUCGGAAUUAUUGGGCGUAAAGAGCUCGUAGGCGGUUUGUUGCGUCGGCUGUGAAAUCCCGAGGCUCAACCUCGGGUCUGCAGUCGAUACGAGCAAACUAGAGUGUUGCAGGGGAGACUGGAAUUCCCGGUGUAGCGGUGAAAUGCGUAGAGGUCGGGAGGAACACCGGCGGCGAAGGCGGCUGCCUGGACCAGUCCUGACGCUGAGGCGCGAAAGCUAGGGGAGCAAACAGG